rnacentral:misc_RNA from 1 species
GGUUACUGGUUAUGUUUGGUCACUCUGGACACCAAUACUGGGCGCAAACCGCUCACCUUCACGUCGCCUUUGUGCAGGUCAUGGAAGCGCACUUAGUUGGCAUGCCAGGGUGGCCAGCGCGAAAGGCGGGGCGUCGUUGCCGGAAGCUUACCGGUGGUGUUUCCCAGCGUUUGCGAAAUCCCUUAUGAACGACUUCAUUCGCUAUCCUAAAGCAAACUAGCCUAUCCUGUAGAAGUUAGCUCGUUUCAAGCCUUGGCGUUUGCGGAGUGCGUCUAAUCGAAAAUGACUUAAGCAUCAAAGCUAGGUGAACACUUUUUCGUUUUUGUCCUGUUCGCGCUACAUUAAGAUUUCCCAAUUGCAUACGGGCCACAUAUCUAAGCUGGUCCCAUGUUUUUAUGUUGCUAGUGCUACAUCAUUGUUCCAUGACAACAUACAGACCACAAUCGUCGGCUACCGUAACAUAACGUAGCUGUUGCUUUUCUUAACUUGUUCCACAUUAAUGGACCACAUUAAUCCGCGAAAAUAAAACAUCUUUAACUAUUUUGAAUAUACUAAACUAGACGCUGAGGAAAGACCACUUUCGAAAUGCAGAAAAAAAUACAACGAAUGAAUUAAACGCAACUGAGACCAGGUAUGGGCUUAAUAGUUCAAUAAUAGCACCGCACAUGGUCCCAAUUCAGUAGCACCAAGAUCAUGCAAAUGCAAGCUGUGCCUAUCGAUUCAUGCUGGCUCUGCAGUCACAGGGGCGUCGCAGAAAGACAGCCAGCGCCAAAUUUUUCUCUCGCGUUUUUGCUCUGAAACUUUUCUGUUUACUGCAUACAGUCCACCCACAUGCACAAUGACGUUUCUGUGCAGACUGUACACCAAGCGACGCAGGGAUAAUCAUCGAGCUGUGGCAGUUGUUCCUGUGCAUCGGUUGGGGACUCAUCGCUACUUCUCUGCUGUCAACAUUGAAAGCAUCGGCCGAGCAGGAUGGCGCGGCGAAGCAGUCGCACUAGCGACAUGUCAAGAUUGGAAACGCGCCCAUGAGCUCAUUGACAUUUUAGAGGACACCAACCGGGAGGGUCCGCGUAGGCUCUUCACCAUGAAAUAGAGGAAGUCACUGGGCGGUUUUGGAUGUCCGACUUUGAUGACAGCGUUUCUCGGUAACACCGACGUUGCCCUCCUUGUACGGAUUGUAUACGUCGGUGGAAGCGGGCCCGUCGGUCGCGUGCUUCGAAGGUGCGCAGUCAUUUGCUCGUCAGCGAGGGUUGCAGUCAUCGCCGCAAGAUUGGUGACACCAGUGUGCGGACUGCACAGCGGCGGAGGACCGCUUUUAGAAUUCGCUGCGAGAAUCAUUCACGUGCGGUGCCGUUACGUCCUUGUCAGCGAUGGCUCCAUUCUUCAGAGCCUCCCUCCUGAUAGCAGAAGAAUUUCAGAAGGCUACCAAAUACGGCCGCGACACCUUCGUGGGAAGACCAGGCACCUGGAACUUAUAGGAAAAUUUGACGCGGGUAAUUCGCCGCGAACUUGAAGCGGUGCUUGCGGCCACUCCUC